UAGGGAAUCUUCGGCAAUGGACGGAAGUCUGACCGAGCAACGCCGCGUGAGUGAAGAAGGUUUUCGGAUCGUAAAGCUCUGUUGUAAGAGAAGAACGAGUGUGAGAGUGGAAAGUUCACACUGUGACGGUAUCUUACCAGAAAGGGACGGCUAACUACGUGCCAGCAGCCGCGGUAAUACGUAGGUCCCGAGCGUUGUCCGGAUUUAUUGGGCGUAAAGCGAGCGCAGGCGGUUGGAUAAGUCUGAAGUUAAAGGCUGUGGCUUAACCAUAGUACGCUUUGGAAACUGUUUAACUUGAGUGCAAGAGGGGAGAGUGGAAUUCCAUGUGUAGCGGUGAAAUGCGUAGAUAUAUGGAGGAACACCGGUGGCGAAAGCGGCUCUCUGGCUUGUAACUGACGCUGAGGCUCGAAAGCGUGGGGAGCAAACAGGAUUAGAUACCCUGGUAGUCCACGCCGUAACCGAUGAGUGCUAGGUGUUAGACCCUUUCCGGGGUUUAGUGCCGCAGCUAACGCAUUAAGCACUCCGCCUGGGGAGUACGACCGCAAGGUUG
rnacentral:rRNA from 1 species